rnacentral:rRNA from 1 species
AAGACCUUGCACUUUUGGAGCGGCCGAUGUCUGAUUAGCUAGUUGGUGGGGUAAAGGCCUACCAAAGCUUCGAUCAGUAGCUGGUCUGAGAGGACGGCCAGCCACACUGGGACUGAGACACGGCCCAGACUCCUACGGGAGGCAGCAGUGGGGAAUUUUGGGCAAUGGGCGCAAGCCUGAUCCAGCCAUGCUGCGUGAGUGAAGAAGGCCUUCGGGUUGUAAAGCUCUUUCAGCCGGGAAGAAAAGGCUGCGACUAAUAAUCGCAGUUCAUGGCGGUACCGGAAGAAGAAGCACCGGCUAACUACGUGCCAGCAGCCGCGGUAAUACGUAGGGUGCGAGCGUUAAUCGGAAUUACUGGGCGUAAAGGGUGCGCAGGCGGUUUUGUAAGUCAGAUGUGAAAUCCCCGGGCUUAACCUGGGAACU